GUCUUUGCUUCGGCAAGACAUAUACUAAAUUUGGAACGAUACAGAGAAGAUUAGCAUGACC
rnacentral:snRNA from 1 species